rnacentral:rRNA from 1 species
GACGAACGCUGGCGGCGUGCUUAACACAUGCAAGUCGAACGGAAAGGCCCUGCUUUUGUGGCGUGCUCGAGUGGAGAACGGGAGAGUAACACGUUAGUAAGCUGACCUCGACUUUGGGAUAACUUCAGGAAACUGGGGCUAAUACCGGAUAGGAGCUCCUGCUGCAUGGUGGGGGUUGGAAAGUUUCGGCGGUUGGGGAUGGACUCGCGGCUUAUCAGCUGGUUGGUGGGGUAGUGGCUUACCAAGGCUUUGACGGGUAGCCGGCGGUAGAGGGUGACCGGCCACAAUGGUACUGAGAUACGGCCCAGACUCCUACGGGAGGCAGCAGUGGGGAAUAUUGCACAAUGGGCGGAAGCCUGAUGCAGCAACGCCGCGUGCGGGAUGACGGCCUUCGGGUGGUAAACCGCUUUCUCCUGUGACGAAGAGUGAGUGACGGUAAUGGAUAAAUAAGCACCGGCUAACUACGUG